rnacentral:rRNA from 1 species
CGGAGGGAUCAUUACAGAGUUCAUGCCCUUCGGGGUAGAUCUCCCACCCGUGUUAUCAUACCUUUGUUGCUUUGGCGGGCCCGCCUCGGCCACCGGCUCCGGCUGGUGAGCGCCCGCCAGAGGACCCCAAACUCUGAAAUUUAAUGUCGUCUGAGUACUAUAUAAUAGUUAAAACUUUCAACAACGGAUCUCUUGGUUCUGGCAUCGAUGAAGAACGCAGCGAAAUGCGAUAAGUAAUGUGAAUUGCAGAAUUCAGUGAAUCAUCGAAUCUUUGAACGCACAUUGCGCCCCUUGGUAUUCCGGGGGGCAUGCCUGUUCGAGCGUCAUUACAACCCUCAAGCUCUGCUUGGUAUUGGGCGUCCCCGGCAACGGGGUGCCCUAAAAUCAGUGGCGGUGCCGUCUGGCUCUAAGCGUAGUAAAUCUCUCGCUCUGGAUGCCCGGUGGAUGCUCGCCAGUAACCCCCAAUUUUUUACAGGUUGACCUCGGAUCAGGUAGGGAUACCCGCUGAAC